rnacentral:rRNA from 1 species
UACGUAGGCAGCGAGCGUUGUUCGGAGUUACUGGGCGUAAAGGGUGUGUAGGCGGUUGUUUAAGUUUGGCGUGAAAUCUCCCGGCUCAACUGGGAGGGUGCGUCGAAUACUGAAUGACUUGGAGUGCGGGAGAGGAAAGUGGAAUUCCUGGUGUAGCGGUGAAAUGCGUAGAUAUCAGGAGGAACACCGGUGGUGUAGACGGCUUUCUGGACCGUAACUGACGCUGAGACACGAAAGCGUGGGUAGCAAACAGG